rnacentral:rRNA from 1 species
UACGUAGGGACCAAGCGUUGUUCGGAUUUACUGGGCGUAAAGGGUGCGUAGGCGGCGCGGUAAGUCGGGUGUGAAAUCUCGGAGCUUAACUCCGGAACUGCAUUCGAUACUGCCGUGCUUGAGGACUGGAGAGGAGACUGGAAUUUACGGUGUAGCGGUGAAAUGCGCAGAUAUCAGGAGGAACACCGAUGGCGAAGGCAGGUCUCUGG